AACAUCAGGUCAAUCUGCUGCCGUCCAGAAUCAGGUGGUUUGUCUUCGUCUGGCAUCUCAGCUGAGACCUGUCCUCUAUGGGUGACCCUACAGUAGUUGUGAAGUACCAGUGGCGUAGCUCUCAGCAUCACUGAUGCACAUAAGGAGGAGAAGAAUGACAAGAUCUCACUGGAGGAUUUGAUAGAAAAUUACUCUCAAGUACUCUGGAAACAUUCUUGGCCUUGAAGAAAAGAAAAAGGCAAGAGACACUGGCUAAAGCAUAGCAGGACGUGGACAGAAAGAAAGCUGACUUCAAAGCUGGCAGAGCACUUGGGAGAUUGUUGUUAAAGACCUCUCUGACAUCUUUAUCUAAAAAAACAAUGUGUAAACUGAGUCUGAACUAUCAAUGCAAU